rnacentral:tRNA from 1 species
GGGGGUAGCUCAGUGGUAGAGCACUCACCUUGCACAUGCAAGGCCCUGGGUUCAAUCCUCAGCACCACA